rnacentral:rRNA from 1 species
CCUACGGGUGGCAGCAGUGAGGAAUAUUGGUCAAUGGACGAGAGUCUGAACCAGCCAUGUAGCGUGAAGGAUGACUGCCCUAUGGGUUGUAAACUUCUUUUAUAAAGGGAUAAAACGAGGCACGUGUGCCUUUUUGCAUGUCCUUUAUGAAUAAGGAUCGGCUACCUCCGUGCCAGCAUCCGCGGUAAUACGGAGGAUCCGGGCGUUAUCCGGAUUUAUUGGGUUUAAGGGUAGCGUGGAUGGGUUGUUAAGUCAGUUGGGAAAGUUUGCGGCUCAACCGUAAAAGUGCAAUUGAUACUGGCAGUCUGGAAUACAGUUGAGGUAGGAGGAAUUCGUGGUGUAGCGAUGAAAUGCUUAGAUAUCACGAAGAACCCCGAUUGCGAAGGCAGCUUACGAAACUGUGACUGACAUUGAUGCACGAAAGUGUGGGUAUCAAACAGGAUUAGAUACCCUUGUAGUC